GACGAACGCUGGCGGCGUGCCUAAUACAUGCAAGUCGAACGCAGUGGGGACGGGUGAGUAACACGUGGGUAACCUCCCAUCAGAGGGGAUAACACUUGGAAACAGGUGCUAAACCGAUACUGAUGGAUGGACCCGCGGUGCAUUAGCUGGUUGGUGAGGUAACGGCUCACCAAGGCCACGAUGCAUAGCUGGCCUGAGAGGGUGAUCAGCCACACUGGGACUGAGACAAGGCCCAGACUCGUACGGGAGGCAGCAGUAGGGAAUCUUGCGCAAUGGACGAAAGGCUGACGGAGCAACGCCGCGUGAAGGAAGAAGGUUUUCGGGUCGUAAAGUUCUGUUGUUAGAGAAGCGGUAUCGAACCAGGAAGCCACGGCUAACUACGUGCCAGCCGCCGCGGUAAUUC
rnacentral:rRNA from 1 species